GACGAACGCUGGCGGCGUGCUUAACACAUGCAAGUCGAACGAAGAGCGAUGGAAGCUUGCUUCUAUCAAUCUUAGUGGCGAACGGGUGAGUAACGCGUAAUCAACCUGCCCUUCAGAGGGGGACAACAGUUGGAAACGACUGCUAAUACCGCAUACGAUCUAAUCUCGGCAUCGAGGAUAGAUGAAAGGUGGCCUCUACAUGUAAGCUAUCACUGAAGGAGGGGAUUGCGUCUGAUUAGCUAGUUGGAGGGGUAACGGCCCACCAAGGCGAUGAUCAGUAGCCGGUCUGAGAAGAUGAACGGCCACAUUGGGACUGAGACACGGCCCAGACUCCUACGGGAGGCAGCAGUGGGGAAUCUUCCGCAAUGGACGAAAGUCUGACGGAGCAACGCCGCGGGAGUGAUGACGGCCUUCGGGUUGUAAAGCUCUGUUAAUCGGGACGAAAGGCCUUCUUGCGAAUAGGGAGAAGGAUUGACGGUACCGGAAUAGAAAGCCACGGCUAACUACGUG
rnacentral:rRNA from 1 species